UGAUAUUUUCAACCAUUACUUUCCAAUCUUGGAAACCUCAGCCAUCUUAGGGAUUUUUUGAUUGUUCUUAGCUUUACUCUUCUUCAUGAACAAGUCGUCAUCAGUUAAAAACUCAAGUGGUAUUUAUCCUCUUUAUCAUUCUCUGUUUUAGCAAAACCCAAAAUAAACUUCAUUGGAGAACUUAGAUCCGAAAAGAACACAAAAGCCAUCUUUGAGAUUCUUUGCAGAAGAAGGGAUCCAGUGGACAACUAACUUACCAAUGGCCUCUGAUUAGCUUGGUUUGUGAUAUGUUGUGCUUUGAGGAUGGCAGGGCGUGAAGGCGAAUCUGAUUCUAUUUCAUGCUAAAGGAAUGGAGGAUGGUCUUUCUACUCAUUGUGUUUCUCUUGAAGAUUCUGUGUUUUUGACUCUUUUGCUGUACAGGGAUAUUAUGUCUGUGGGAUGAUUUUUGGGUGGGGUUUAAGCUUAUGACUGAAUAUGUCGAGCGUCUAGCAGAGUCUUUGUUUUCAUCCCAAAUGUGACCAAAUUUUUUUAUUUUGAUAUUCUAUACGCAAAUUCAAGUAAUGAAAUUCUAGCUUAUGAUUA